CGCUGAUCUCGUUGUAGUGCAUCGAUCGAUUUCUGGCUACUCUGACAAGAACUUCUGCUGUUUAUACCUCAAAGCGCCACAGGAAGCAGUUGUCGGGGAGGAAGGAGCAGUGUAAGGCAGUUAAGACCGGCAACCAUCCGCUGUUGACUGAGGACCUGAUGGGAUAUUCCAGAAGCUAAUCCAUCUCCCUCCAGUUUCUUUACAGAUAAUUAUUGACACCUCAACACGCCACACCACACUGUAGAACUAAAAUUUCAGACUUACACAAAGGGAAAAUAUAAGAUAUUACAGUUAUCACAAAGGGAGCAUUGCUUAAUCAGCACUGAAGAUAAUUGCGAUAAACAUCCAUCCAUCCAAUUUCAACACCGCAUAUCCUGGUUAGGGUCACAGGGCACUGGAGCCUAUCCCAGCUGACUUCGGGAAAAAGGCAGACUACACCCUGAACUGGUCGCCCGUCAGUCACAGGGCACAUAUAGACACGGACAACCAUUUGCACUGUCAUUGAGUGGGAACUGAACCCACACUGCCCGCACCAAAGUCAGAUUGUUGUUAUCACUGUGCCAUGGGGAGUCCAGGAGGAUGGAGACUCACUUCUACAAAAUUGCCAACUAAGAAGGACUCACUUGACAUUCUCCACCUAAUGGCAACAAUCUAUUCAGAAUAAAAACGAAAGAGAGAACAAAAGCAAGAGCACAGACUGGGAGGGAAAAGAAAAGGUGGAAGAAGGGUCACGGGGCGCUGGAGCCUAUCCCAGCUGACUUCGGCCGAAAGACGGACUACACCCUGAACUGGUCGCCAGUCAGCCGCAGGGCACACAUAGACACGGACAACCAUUCGCAGCCACAUUCACACCGUCGCUGAGUGGAAACUGAUCCCACGCCUCCCGCACCAAAGUCAGGCGAGUGGACCACGACACCAUCAGCGACGACCAAAAGCAAAACAUCUUUGAUUUAGUCACAGAAUGUAAAACAUGCCUGUGAAUAUUCUUUUGUUCAUCCGGGUCAUUUCAUUCUCAGGGUAUUGAAUCGAUUGCAAAUGGGCUGCUGUGGUUGUCUUAGAAGAUGUUUAGCCUCACGUCAUAUAUCUUAUAUAUUGUAUAAAUGUAAAUAUGUAUAUUUGUGUUUGUGUGCCUACCUUCCAUAUGCCUCAUUUGCUUGCCUUGAUUAGAGAAGGGGAAGUCCCAUACAAUGGUCAUCCUUUUUUUUUUUUUUUUAUAGCCGGAGAAAUAUGAAUCAUGUGUAUAACGAUUGUGUUUACAGGGUCCUUGGCAGACUAUGGGAGAAAACGUGUAAAAGACUGCAGCAGGAAGACCAUGAUUAAGAAUGAAGAAAGUAUAGUUUGAGGGUGAAACAAAGCAAAAAGUGUCAGAGGUUUAAUUGUCAUUAAAUAUGCGGGAGCUGCCGCAGCAUUUGCAUCACGUAACCCGCUCUUUGUCUUUCACCUUUCGCCUGCUCCGAAACCUUCCCUCAGCGUAAUGCACAGCAGCAAGCAAUCGAUAGAU